rnacentral:rRNA from 1 species
GACGAACGCUGGCGGCGUGCCUAAUACAUGCAAGUAGAACGCACAGUUUAUACCGUAGCUUGCUACACCAUAGACUGUGAGUUGCGAACGGGUGAGUAACGCGUAGGUAACCUGCCUGGUAGCGGGGGAUAACUAUUGGAAACGAUAGCUAAUACCGCAUAAUAUUAAUUAUUGCAUGAUAAUUAAUUGAAAGGUGCAAUUGCACCACUACCAGAUGGCCCUGCGUUGUAUUAGCUAGUAGGUGAGGUAACGGCUCACAUAGGCGACGAUACAUAGCCGAACUGGGAGGGUGGACGGCCAACCUGGGACGGAGACCCGGCCCAGAGUCCUACGGGAGGGAGCCGGAGGGAAACGUCGGGAAUGGGCGGAAGGCUGAACGGACCACGCCGCGGGGGGGUAGAAGGGUUUCGGAUCGGAAAGCUCUGUUGUAAGGGAAGAAAGGGUUUGCGAGUGGAACGUUCACACUGUGACGGUAUCUUAUCAGAAAGCGACGGCUAACUACGUG